rnacentral:rRNA from 1 species
AACGAACGCUGGCGGCAGGCCUAACACAUGCAAGUCGAGCGGACCCUUCGGGGUUAGCGGCGGACGGGUGAGUAACGCGUGGGAAUAUGCCCUUCUCUACGGAAUAGUCCUGGGAAACUGGGGGUAAUACCGUAUACGCCCUUUGGGGGAAAGAUUUAUCGGGGAAGGAUUAGCCCGCGUUGGAUUAGGUAGUUGGUGGGGUAAUGGCCUACCAAGCCGACGAUCCAUAGCUGGUUUGAGAGGAUGAUCAGCCACACUGGGACUGAGACACGGCCCAGACUCCUACGGGAGGCAGCAGUGGGGAAUCUUAGACAAUGGGGGCAACCCUGAUCGAGCCAUGCCGCGUGAGUGAUGAAGGCCUUAGGGUUGUAAAGCUCUUUCAGCUGGGAAGAUAAUGACGGUACCAGCAGAAGAAGCCCCGGCUAACUCCGUG